ACUCUGCCUCCACCAUCACAGCCUCAUGGUUUCCACAGGGGAAUUCCAAGGCCUUGCUGUGAUGGGCUUGUGGGCUGGAAAGAAGACUGGAUUAAGUAACCCAUUAAGCCAUUGGCGUUCUUUGAGAGCCUGUUUCCUCUUAUGUCAGGUGCAGAGUAACUCUAAUGACGCAUGCUAGGCAGCAGCGUGGGACUCAGCUGAGUGUCGCUCCCUCUCCUUUAUCCGUGGAGGGAGAAAGUUCAUUGCUAAGGGUGUCAUCUGAAUGUGAAGGAAUAUAAAGCACGGUUGAAGAGGAGAGGCUCUAUUGUUAUUGAGACGUCAGUGGUGAGAGGAAGGGAAGAGGUGACCAGGAGCAUGCAGCACGGUGGUGGCACCGUUGGGCAGGGGAAGGUGUUGGGGGAUUGCAUGUUGGAGCCAUCAUUUUAGGAUGAGGCAAAUCGGAUCAAGCUUUUAGACUGAGCAGUUGGGGCAAGCGUUUGGUACAGCAGUUAAAGUAGCUACUUGAGAUGUCUGCAUCCCAUAUCUGUAUCCAUAUCUGCUUCUGAUCCAGUUUCUGGCUAAUGCCCAUUUUUGGAGGCCACAGGUGAUGGCGCAAGUACUUGGAUCCCUGUCACCCACCUGGAGACCCAGAUGGAGUUCCAGGUUCCUGGCUUUGGCCCAGCCUGUUAUAUGCCUGUUGUACCUAUUUGGGGAGUGAACCAGCAGAUGGAAGAUCGCUCUUUCCCUCUCUCUCUCUGGCUCCCUUCUUUCGAAGGAACACAAAUAAAAAUAAUAUUGUAGGCUGGCGCCGUGGCUCAGUAGGCUAAUUCUCCACCCUGCGGCGCUGGCACACUGGGUUCUAGUCCCGGUUGGGGCGCCGGAUUCUUUCCCGGUUGCCCCUCUUCCAGGCCAGCUUUCUGCUGUGGCCAGGGAGUACAGUGGGGGAUGGCUCAAGUGCUUGGGCCCUGAACCCCAUGGGAGACCAGGAGAAGCACCUGGCUCCUGCCUUCGUAUCAGCGCGGUGCUCCGGCCACAGCCCGCCACCCAUGGCAGCCAUUGGAGGGUGAACCAACAGCAUAAAGAAGACCUUUCUCUCUGUCUCUCUCUCUCACUAUCCACUCUGCCUGUCAAAAAUAAAUAAAUAAAUAAAUAAAUAAAUAAAUAAAUAAAUAAAUAAAUAAAAUUGAGAGGAGCCAGGGGAGCUGCUGAACAAGGCUAAGUCUCUAAGGGAGACUGAAGAAAAUGAAAAUAAAGUUGAGAUCCAGAUGGAGACAGGCAGCAGGGAGGAUGGAGCCACUUGUAGUGAGAACACUUAUGAGGCCUCCGUUUGGGGAAGGACUCAAGCCAUCGGCGGGUAUUGAGUCUUCUUGAAGUCAGCUCUUCUGAGUUGCUAAUGUCUGCUUCUGGGUAUGAGAAGGGCCCGAGGACACCACAAUUCACUUUGAGUGUGUGUGGAUGGGAUAAAUGAGGGUAUUGGGCCAAGCCUUUUUCCUUAGGGACAUCACCAAGAAGAAGCACUUCUCUGCCCACAUCACAGACAAGGUUAUCUCCUGGUGUGCCUGACCAGUAGAAGGGUGAUCCUUCCUCUUGGCACCCAGCAGGGCUCUGAGACCUCCACUGAAAGGCUCAUGAUGACUUGACAUUUUCGCAGGAAGCCAAACCCCAGGCCCUGCUUCAACUUGGGCCAACAUAGAGUUUGGGUGUCAGAGUGGGGUGCACAGUGCUAAGAGUAAGGAAAUGGGGUUCUUGGCCUGCUGAUGGCCUGGGAAAGCAGUGGAAGGUGGCCCAAGUCCCCUGCACCCACGUGGGAGACCCAGAAGAACCUCCUAGCUCCGGGCUUCAGCCUGGCCCAGCUCCGGCCAUUGCGGCCAUGUGGGGAGUGAACCAGUGGAUGGAAGACCUCUCUCUCUGCCUCUCGAGUACAUAAAUAAUUUUAAAAAUACAUAUGGUGAGAGGUGAACUAGAGCCAGAUAUUUCCCUAACCCAGGUGAGUUAGGCUCUGAGGGGGAAAAAACAACCCACAAUAGCUUGGGCUUUGCAAAGAACAAAAUGCUCUGUGGAGUUUGAAACGGUUACUUUCCCCCUCCCACUGCCAGAACCAUUUGGGGAGUUUCCUCCAAGACUCACUUGGAGAACGCGGCAGUGAGAGGGUGUCACUAGUCAGGGUUAGGGGCCUGGAACUCUUCCUCUCCUGCAGUGGAAGGCUGUGUCUUUAACUGUCAGUGUGAUGACAUCCGCCUUCCCAGAAUGCACCUGUCACAUCCAGGUCAUGGAUGCGUGCUUGCACCCGAACAGGUUCAUGGAGCCCCUCGGAGGGCGCACCAGCUGGAAGGAGCUGCACCUCCAGCGCGGAUGAAGGCUGCUGUUUUCUCUCUUCUCCACAGAGUGCUGCACGUGCGGAGCCAGGGACCCCUUGUGCGUGCUUUUCCCGUGCAGAGCCGUCCACCUUGGCGCUUUCCCGCUCUCUUUAUCUCCGUCGCGUGCACGGGCCACCUCAACCGCUGUGGACCUCCAGGGAUCCCAAGUGAAAAUCAGCGACGUUUACCAACGCCUCCUGAUGGCUGAAUCUCAGAACCGUUCUGCUCACCCGGGCCAAGCAUGGGACCCCCCCAACUCCUCCAUCCCCAGCACCCAGGCCUCUGUGGGCCCUGAGGACUUACUUCGGUGGACCUUGAGGACGGUGUACACCAUGCCGCUGUUUGCUGGGAGAUGCAGGAAGCCCACGAGUGCAGAACUUGAGGUGAAAAAUGGCUGUACCUGACGAUAGUGCCAAGUGCGGAGGGCAGUGCCAACCUUGGCGGU